rnacentral:rRNA from 1 species
UACGGAGGGGGCUAGCGUUGUUCGGAAUUACUGGGCGUAAAGCGUACGUAGGCGGCUUUUUAAGUCAGAGGUGAAAUCCCGGUGCUCAACACCGGAACUGCCUUUGAGACUGGAUCGCUUGAUCACGGGAGAGGUUAGUGGAAUUCCGAGUGUAGAGGUGAAAUUCGUAGAUAUUCGGAAGAACACCAGUGGCGAAGGCGGCUAACUGGACCGUUGAUGACGCUGAGGUACGAGAGCGUGGGGAGCAAACAGG